rnacentral:rRNA from 1 species
GCAUAUCAAUAAGCGGAGGAAAAGAAACUAACAAGGAUUCCCCUAGUAACGGCGAGUGAAGCGGGAUGAGCUCAAAUUGAAAUCUGGCUGGUUUACUAGUCCGAGUUGUAAUUUAAAGAAGCGUUUUCGGUGGCAGCCUGGGUAUAAAUCCUUUGGAAUAGGGUAUCAUAGAGGGUGAGAAUCCCGUCUUUGACCUAGUGCAUGCUACUAUGUGAUACGUUUUCAAAGAGUCGAGUUGUUUGGGAAUGCAGCUCAAAAUGGGUGGUAAAUUUCAUCUAAAGCUAAAUAUUGGCGAGAGACCGAUAGCGAACAAGUACCGUGAGGGAAAGAUGAAAAGAACUUUGAAAAGAGAGUUAAACAGUGCGUGAAAUUGUUGAAAGGGAAACGU